rnacentral:lncRNA from 1 species
UCUUUUCCAUGCCCACCCAAUGGAGCGACUAUGCCAUCCUCUUGUAAGUUCUAUAAACUCUCGAGUGCGCUCCCGUAAACGUUUUGUGAAAUUCUGCUAACAGUUUAGGUAUCCACUCAGACUGGGUAGAGAGGACUAGCUUUCCUUUAUGGUGUAAUCUCCCAUUCUCCAUUGUAUAAGCCAAAUGAGAGUUUGGAUCAGCUUUUAAUUCUUCCAUAAUUUUUUCAAACUAGCAUCCCUCUCCACCUC